GAUGAAGAACGUAGCGAAAUGCGAUAAGUAAUGUGAAUUGCAGAAUUCAGUGAAUCAUCGAAUCUUUGAACGCACAUUGCGCCCGCCAGUAUUCUGGCGGGCAUGCCUGUUCGAGCGUCAUUUCAACCCUCAGGCCCCCAGUGCCUGGUGUUGGGGAUCGGCAGCAGGGCGUCAAGUCCGCCGGCCCCGAAAUCUAGUGGCGGUCUCGCUGUAGUCCUCCUCUGCGUAGUAGCACAACCUCGCAGUUGGAACGCGGCGGUGGCCAUGCCGUUAAACACCCCACUUCUGAAAGUUGACCUCGGAUCAGGUAGGAAUACCCGCUGAACUUAAGCAUAUCAAUAAGCGGAGGA
rnacentral:misc_RNA from 1 species